GACGAACGCUGGCGGCGUGCUUAACACAUGCAAGUCGAACGAUGAAGCCGGAGCUUGCUCUGGUGAAUUAGUGGCGAACGGGUGAGUAACACGUGAGUAACCUGCCCUUGACUCUGGGAUAACUGCUAGAAAUGGUAGCUAAUACCGGAUACGACCCUCGGAGGCAUCUCCAGGGGGUGGAAAGAAUUUCGGUCAAGGAUGGACUCGCGGCCUAUCAGCUUGUUGGUGAGGUAACGGCUCACCAAGGCGACGACGGGUAGCCGGCCUGAGAGGGUGAUCGGCCACACUGGGACUGAGACACGGCCCAGACUCCUACGGGAGGCAGCAGUGGGGAAUAUUGCACAAUGGGCGCAAGCCUGAUGCAGCAACGCCGCGUGAGGGACGACGGCCUUCGGGUUGUAAACCUCUUUUAGUAGGGAAGAAGCGAAAGUGACGGUACCUGCAGAAAAAGCACCGGCUAACUACGUGCCAGCAGCCGCGGUAA
rnacentral:rRNA from 1 species